rnacentral:rRNA from 1 species
UGGGAAGUCCUCGUGUUGCACCUCUUUUUACGUUUUUUUUUUUUUUUUUCUUUUUGCCCUUAUUCUGAGUAUUUUUCUUUGAAGCGAAGUAAAAGGUCGAUAAGUUAACUAAUUUUUGUGAUUGAUCGGGAGAUAAAUGUAUCGUGGCCCGUGCUCGUUCGUGUAGAAGGUCGAUCGAAAGUCGCCGUCCGGCAGCAGAAGGAAUAUAGUAAUUGAUGUGCCAAUACUUAUCAGUGCGAUCAUACCAGCACUAAA